CCUACGGGAGGCAGCAGUGAGGAAUAGUGGUCAAUGGGCGCGAGCCUGAACCAGCCAAGUAGCGUGAAGGAUGACUGCCCUACGGGUUGUAAACUGCUGUUAUAAAGGAAUAAAGUGAGGCACGUGGGCAUUUUUGUAUGUACGUUAUGAAUAAGGAUCGGCUAACUCCGUGCCAGCAGCCGCGGUAAUACGGAGGAUCCGAGCGUUAUCCGGAUUUCUUGGGUUUAAAGGGAGCGUAGAUGGGUUGUUAAGUCAGUUGUGCUAGUUUGCGGCUCAACCGUAAAAUUGCAAUUGAUACUGGCAGUCUUGAGUACAGUUGCGGUAGUCGGAUUUCGUGGUGUAGCGG
rnacentral:rRNA from 1 species